rnacentral:rRNA from 1 species
GAAGCCAGCUUGCUGGUGGAUUAGUGGCGAACGGGUGAGUAACACGUGGGCAACCUGCCCCCGGCUCUGGGAUAACUCCAAGAAAUUGGUGCUAAUACCGGAUAUUCACAUUCUCUCGCAUGGGGGUUUGUGGAAAGUUUUUCGGCUGGGGAUGGGCCCGCGGCCUAUCAGCUUGUUGGUGGGGUGAUGGCCUACCAAGGCGACGACGGGUAGCCGGCCUGAGAGGGUGACCGGCCACACUGGGACUGAGACACGGCCCAGACUCCUACGGGAGGCAGCAGUGGGGAAUAUUGCGCAAUGGGCGGAAGCCUGACGCAGCGACGCCGCGUGAGGGAUGACGGCCUUCGGGUUGUAAACCUCUUUCAGCAGGGACGAAGCGAAAGUGACGGUACCUGCAGAAGAAGCACCGGCCAACUACGUGCCAGCAGCCGCGGUAAUACGUAGGGUGCAAGCGUUGUCCGGAAUUAUUGGGCGUAAAGAGCUCGUAGGCGGUUUGUCGCGUCGGCUGUGAAAGCCCGGAGCUCAACUCCGGGUCUGCAGUCGAUACGGGCAGACUUGAGUGUUGCAGGGGAGACUGGAAUUCCUGGUGUAGCGGUGAAAUGCGCAGAUAUCAGGAGGAACACCGGUGGCGAAGGCGGGUCUCUGGGCAACAACUGACGCUGAGGAGCGAAAGCGUGGGGAGCGAACAGGAUUAGAUACCCUGGUAGUCCACGCCGUAAACGUUGGGCGCUAGGUGUGGGGGCCAUUCC